rnacentral:rRNA from 1 species
CGUAGGUGGUAGUGUAAGUCUGGGGUGGAAUCCCAGGGCUCAACCCUGGAACUGCCUUGGAAACUGCAUUACUUGAGUCAGUGAGGGGAGGGUAGAAUUCCUGGUGUAGCGGUGAAAUGCGUAGAUAUCAGGAGGAAGGCCUGUGGCGAAGGCGGCCCUCUGGCGCUGGACUGACACUGAGGCGCGAAAGCGUGGGGAGCAAACAGGAUUAGAUACCCUGGUAGUCCACGCCCUAAACGGUGGGCACUAGGUGUAGGGCUCGUAAGGGUUCUGUGCCGAAGGGAAACCAUUAAGUGCCCCGCCUGGGGAGUACGGCCGCAAGGUUGAA